rnacentral:rRNA from 1 species
AAUGAACGCUGGCGGCAUGCCUAACACAUGCAAGUCGAACGAGACCUUCGGGUCUAGUGGCGCACGGGUGCGUAACGCGUGGGAACCUUCCCUUAGGUUCGGAAUAACUCCCCGAAAGGGGUGCUAAUACCGGAUAAUGUCUUCGGACCAAAGAUUUAUCGCCUUUGGAUGGGCCCGCGUUGGAUUAGCUUGUUGGUAGGGUAAAAGGCUAACAAGGCGAGGAUGCAUAACUGGUCUGAGAGGAUGAUCAGCCACACUGGGACUGAGACACGGCCCAGACUCCGGGGGGAGGAAGCAGUAGGGAAUCUUCCGGGAGGGGCGAAAGGGGGAUGGUGGAACGACGGGUGAAUGCUGAAGCAAUUAGGACCGUAAAAGGCUGUAGGUCCAGAGGAUAGUAAGUGUGAUUAACUCGGAACGUUAAGACGGGACCUAAGAGGAAAGCCACGGCUAACCCCGUG